rnacentral:rRNA from 1 species
UACAGAGGGGGCUAGCGUUGUUCGGAAUUACUGGGCGUAAAGGGCGCGUAGGUGGCCUGUUAAGUCGAACGUGAAAUCCCCGGGCUCAACUCGGGAACUGCGUCCGAUACUGGCAGGCUUGAAUCCGGGAGAGGGAUGCGGAAUUCCAGGUGUAGCGGUGAAAUGCGUAGAUAUCUGGAGGAACACCGGUGGCGAAGGCGGCAUCCUGGACCGGGCAUUGACGCUGAGGCGCGAAAGCCAGGGGAGCAAAGCGGG